UCACUGUAACGCCCUGAGUGUUGCGGAUGUUUCGCAGAAGUUGACCGAACUUGAUUAUUUAGAGGAAGUAAAAGUCGUAACAAGGUUUCCGUAGGUGAACCUGCGGAAGGAUCAUUAAAGUUCUCCUUUCAAGUUAUAAACAAAAACACAAUAUAUAAAAUACUUAUAUUGUAAAAUUAUGGCAAAUGCCAAAAAGAAACAAAAUAACAAUAAUAAAAAUGUUUAUUAUUGUAUCGCCUCCUAGGCAAAAAAGUAUAGUAUAAAGUGUUUGUGUGUGUUACACAUUACACAAAAAUUGACUUAUUUAUAUAAAAUUUGUAAAAACUGAAAUUGUGUGGACGUUAUACAAAAUUAAUUUGUAUAGAAAAUGUCUAAAAAUUUGAAAUACAUAAAAUUAUAGUUGUACUUGUAUAAAAUUGAAAAGUAAUUUUUUAUAUAAGUCAAUCAUUGUUCGUUUUUUAAGAACUUGAGACAUUCGCAACAAAAAUUUUAUGUUUUAGUUAUAAAAGAGAAGAAUAAUAAGCAAAAAUUAUUGAAGGAAUUGAUAUAUGCCAAUUUGAAACUUUUUGGUGUAUUUNUGAUUUCUNUCCU
rnacentral:rRNA from 1 species